GCACGUACAAAUUAACUAGUUGUACUUGUAGGUCAGGUCCUUCAAUCUGUUCCAAUACCGCGCGUGCUAUUAUCUUUCGCUCUUCUGCCAUUGUAGCUUCCUAUACAAGAACGAACACAAAAAACCCUAACCCUAACUUCUCAUCCAAUCAUGGCUACCGAUGCCCGUGACUCGCGUCACAAGCAUCGCCGAUCACCCUCCCCAGAGGAUGUGGACAGAUCCUCGAAGCGCCACAAGCACCGCCAUCGCCAUCGCCACCGCCACCGUCACGGGAGCAAAAAGCGCGAUGAAGAUAUUGAAUUCGACGAUCGAACAAUUGCUGCUGUUCCUUGUCCAACUCCGCAUAGACAUGUACAGGAGGACGAUGUGGAGGAAGGAGAGAUCCUCGACGACGAAGCUCUCGAUAGCGAGGUAGGGAAAAAAGAGACUGAAUCUGAUGUCGAACCUGGUGAAAUCAAGGUGACUGGAGAUCGAGAUGUUCAAUCCGAUAAUCAAAAUUCGGGAGACCUCACUGUAAAUUCAGAAACUAAUGAGGACAUCAGGGUUGAUAAAUUUAUUAGUCCUGCAACCAAUGCAGAUGGUGUCUCUCCUAAUCGUUUAAGUGCUGAGACUCAAGAUGGAAAGCAUGCUACAGAUGGUCUGGACAAUGGUUAUUUGAAUCCUAAAUCUUCCAGGGCAGAUAAGUCGCGGAAUGGUGAGCUUGGACAUUUUAAAGGGAAUGAGAAACUAAAAGGUGACUUUGAUGCACUGGAGGCUAAUGUUAGGAAAACACAUUUCCAUAGGAAUUCGUCAUCCGAAAGUGGGGGAGACAAAGGUAGAAUAUCAGGAAGUUCUCCUUCUCAUGGCAGAUAUAGAAGUCGAUCAAGAUCAAUUGGUCAUACAAGAGACAGGUCUCGUUCUCGUAGUGUCAUAGAUGAAUAUGAUCAUUCCAAGAGAAGGCGCUCUGAAUAUGACUAUGAUGAGGAAAGAGUGAGGGCACGUGGAAGGGAACAUGGUCAUGGAAGUGUGGUAGAUGAUAGAAGGGAAUACAGUAGUGGAUAUCACAAUCGCGAGGCCCAUGAUAGAGAUAGGAGUAGGGAUAGAGACUUGUACAGCGAAAAAAAACAAGAGGAAACAAGCAGGGGUAAGGAGAUUGAGAGGGACCGCCAAAGGGUAAAGGAACGUGAAAGGAGCCGUGAGAGAUAUAAAAGGGAUGUAGAAAAAGACAGGAGCAGGGAAAGGGAGGAUAGGGACAGGAGGCAAGAAAAGGAAAGAGAUAGGAGCUGGGAGACGGUGUUUGAGAGGGAUAUGAGAAGGGAAAAGGAAAGAGAUAGGAGUAGGGACAGAACAAGAGAUGCUAAGAGAGAUAGAGACCUGGAGAAUGAAAGGGAUGAUAAGAAUCGAGAAAGGGAUAAUAUUAAGGAGAGGGCAAGGCGUGAUGAUAGAUAUAGGCACAAGGAUAGAGACACUGCAAAUGGUAAAGAUAGGCAUGUGCGUCAUGAAGAUGGUAAUGACAAUGGAGAUAAAUAUAGAAAACAUUCGAGACAUGAAGAAAAUGAUUACCAUUGGGAUAGAAAAAGAAAUCCUGGUAAUCCUGUAAAGGAUUAUACUUCAAGGGGGGGAAGUACUGCAGAAGUGGAUGAAAGCAAACUAACAAGCAGUGAGGUUGAACCAGAUGACUUAGAGGAGGAUACAUUGCACUUACCUGACCAAGAAGAGGAAGAUCUCAACAGGAUCAAAGAAGAAAGUAGAAGAAGAAGGGAAGCAAUAAUGGAGAAAUACAAGAAACAGCAUCAGCAAGUAGAAGUGGUUGGAAAUGAACGAAAAGACAAGGAUACAGACAGUCAAACUGAAACCUAUGAAGCACAUGAUGGUAAGAAUGAUGAUGCCGAUUAUGUGGAGCCAUCAUUUGCUGUUGGAAAAUCUCCUGAAAAUGUGACUGUUGCUUCUCAGAAGAUAUCUCUUGCUGGAGGCCUGGGAGAGGGUACUCCAAAGAGUGAAAGGUCAGAGGACAAGUACUGUGACGAUAUAUUUGGGGAGACACCAACGGGAGUUCGAAAAUCAGGAAAAGGUGAUGGUUUAAUGAUUGAAAGGGUUGGCCUACAUGACAACUGGGAUGAUGCAGAGGGAUACUACAGCUAUCGAAUUGGUGAAAUACUUGAUGGCCGGUAUGAAGUCACUGCUGCACACGGGAGGGGUGUCUUUUCAACAGUUGUUCGGGCAAAGAAUCUGAAGGUGGGAAAUGGUGAGCCAGAGGAAGUAGCAAUAAAAAUAAUUCGUAAUAAUGACACCAUGUACAAGGCUGGUAUGGAUGAAUUGGUCAUAUUGAAGAAAUUAGUAGGUGCAGAUCCAGAUGAUAAACGUCAUUGUGUUCGUUUCCUUUCAAGUUUUAGAUACAGGAAUCAUCUUUGUUUAGUUUUUGAAUCUCUUAAUAUGAAUCUCCGUGAGGUUUUAAAGAAGUUUGGUCGCAAUAUUGGCCUUAGGCUAACAGCUGUGAGAGCAUACGCAAAACAGCUUUUUAUUGCCUUGAAGCAUCUCCGGAACUGUGGUGUUCUUCAUUGUGACAUAAAGCCAGAUAAUAUGUUGGUAAAUGAGGCUAAAAAUGUUUUGAAGCUUUGUGACUUUGGUAAUGCAAUGUUUGCUGGUAAAAAUGAAGUUACACCAUAUCUUGUGAGUCGUUUUUAUCGUGCCCCAGAAAUAAUACUUGGCUUGGCAUAUGAUCAUCCAUUGGAUAUUUGGUCUGUAGGCUGUUGUUUGUAUGAGUUAUAUGUAGGUAAGGUUCUUUUCCCUGGGCUUACUAACAAUGACAUGCUACGACUUCACAUGGAACUGAAGGGCCCUUUUCCAAAGAAGAUGCUACGAAAGGGAGCAUUUACUGAACAACAUUUUGAUCAGGACCUGAAUUUUCUUGCAACAGAGGAAGAUCCUGUGACAAAAAAGGCCAUAAAGCGGCUGAUUCUCAACAUUAAGCCAAAAGAUAUUGGGACACUCAUCACUGGCUCUUCCGGGGAGGAUCCAAAAAUGUUGGCCAACUUUAGGGAUCUUUUGGAAAAAGUUUUUGUCCUGGAUCCAGACAAGAGGCUGACAGUGUCACAAGCUCUGAACCACCCAUUCAUCACUGGCAAGUGAACAAUGUUGCUGAAAUUGACUCCCAAAAUGAUAUACUGAUAUUUGUACAUAAUGAUCCAAUUGAUAUUGAGGUUCUAAUUUUAUUUGGCACUAUCUAUCUUCUGUGUAUGGCCCAAGGAGUGUCAUCACAGUUGUCAGCAUGUUGAAGUGAAAAAAGGGUGAUGUCUCUCUACAGGCGUACACUUUACUGGCGGUUCUUUCAGUGGAAUGUACUGUUUCUAUUGACACAUAUCACUGGUUUGAGGCAUCCCUUCAUGCUUAGAUGCUUAAAAGGAACCCAGGAGAAGGUACCUUGGCUUGUUUAUUGGGAGAUUAAUUUCACCGUGCUGGAAUGAGUUAUGAUUUCCAUUUUCAUUAACAGUGGUAAUAGAAUAACUACCACAUUCGAGUAGGAACUUAUUUCAAUGAGCUUGAGCUGUCAAUUUUUUUUAUGAGGAGAAUCAGUGGUUAUUGGUGCUGUUUGAGCUACUCACGUUAAUUAUUGUUGUUAGCUGGGUACAUGAGUUAAGGGGAGGGAAGUGGUCAGUGAUGAACUUGCUUCCGAUUCUAGAUACACGUGCCACUAGGCCAUAUGCCUAGUUUUUACUGCCUUUUAAAUUGUUUCAGUAUAAAUGGUCGAAUUCCCAAGCAAUAGCUUUUUCCGCGUAUUUCUUUUAAUUUUUAGUCAUGACUUAGGUGUGUGGAUAUUUUUUUCUUGAAUUGUACUUGAGCAUGCCUUUCCAUCUGUUGUCUUGUGUUAUUUAUAAUACUUUUUUUCCUUAAAUUUACCCAUACACAUAUCCUAAUAAACUUGUGUUGCAUCUUAUCCAUGGCGGGUCAUGUUGGAGGCAAUUCCACUGGAUGUCUUUGGCUAUGUUCUUGAAGCAAAUCCGUUUGACGGUAGCAUCUUGGUCCUGCAAUUUUUGUAAGUAUAUUCAAGUUCAAGUCCUUUCGCAUCAUUGUCAGUGUAGAAGGCAUUGAUGGUCCUUUGCAUCCAGUUUUUUACAGUGUGAACCUAGUCUUUAUUCCUGUUUCCGAUUUGGUGGAAUAUCCAAUUUGCAAUUUGCGGUAAAACUUUCCUGCUGCUUGUUUCCUAUGUUGAAUGUAGAUGGCGCUUAGGUUUGAUUGUCGGGCUAUGUGCCAUACUUCCUGAGUUGUUUCUUCUAAUUAAACAUUGUGUUUUUUGCUAUGCUCCUGUUCCAUGUUGUCCUAAACGCCUAAUAUUGUUUGUUACUGGCCAAUCUUGUUCUUUUCGUUGUGAUUCAUUUGACGAGCAUGUUGAUUUCAUGUUUAUUUGUUUUUUAGAAUGGAAUUGAGUUUUAUUUGUUAGUAGAAUUCAUUUCUUAGGGAUGACAUACGCAUACGUAUUUUAAAAUUUAGUGAAAGAAGACGGUCGCUCCCACCAUAAGGGGACUAAAAAAUAACUCAAUGCUGUUAAAUUAUCGUUAUGGUGCUGCCAUGAUGCUAUAACGUGUCAUUUUCUUUGCUUAUUCUGUCUGUUCAUCACUUCAGAUACUCAGUCAAUUUUCACUCAUGUUUCUCAAUGUAUGUGUUUAUAUGUUCACCAUCAAUCCAAUGAUAUUGUGCUGACUUUUUUUUUUAAUAUAUAUUUCGUAAUUUAGUUCUGUUUUUUGAACUUCUGAAACACGUUGCAUGAGGUUUUUUUUUUUUUAAUUAAACCGAUGUUGUUUCCAAUAAAAAUUUCAGUUCAAGGACUAUGUGAAACCCACUCAAUCAAAUUCUUUCGAGAUUUGAUUCCAGUCUAUGAUCCUGUCGUUUUAAAUUUGUUUUUGCAGUCUUUUCUGUUAUUAUACAUUCUCCAUGGCUUCCAUCAUUGACUGAAUUUGGAUUCUUUGCUCGGUUUUUUGUGCCUGCCCUUUUACCGUGCCUACAAAAUAGACUGAUUUUGAUAUUUUAAAACAUAUUUGAAAGCUUUUUUAAUUUACCAAUAUUAGUAUAUUUGGAAGACUCAGGAGAGACAAUUCUAAAAUCUCAACAGAGUCUGGGUAGAAAAGGUUGGUCAAUUCUUUUGCAGUCCUCGGUUGGCUUCAAUGCAUGUACACUUUAGCCUGUCAGUUUACCUUUUUUAUAUUUUAAUUUGAUAAUGAAUAGAAAAUAAAACGGCCUUGCAAAUUAAGUAACAAAAAUGAGUCAAGGUUUAGAUGACUGCCAUAUCUUACUAGUUUAGGACUAUUCUAAAAUUGGAAAGAUGAGACUACCAUUUUUUGGGGAAUGUGCUAUACUGGAGAACAAAGCAGACAUGCCUCAAAUGUUGUAUGCUGUUGUACCUUGGUUGUACAAGUUAAUGGAAACCUUUCCAGACAAGAUUGUCCUUGGAUGUGGGUAGUUUCUACCUCACCUUUGAGAAAAAGCUUUACUUGAUUGCUAUAGCUUUACUAAUUUAGGAGUUCUGAAACUUGAAACGACUUCCGAUUGACUACCGCCUCCUUUUUUUUGUGGAUAAAUGUAUAAAAUGUAUCUUGGAGAAACGUAAGGCCUAUCUCAAAUAUUGACAUAGUAGUGUAGAUCUACCUUGGCUGUAGAAAUCAAUGGUUAGCUUUCAAAACGAGAUUGUUCUCGGGUGUGGGUAGAUUGUACCUACAGAAAACUCUCUUUCGCUUGAUAUCUGUGAACCGUUUAUUCAUUUAAUAUCCUGAUCUCUUGAAUGUGUA